UAACACCUGGAAACAGGUGCUAAUACCGCAUAAGCGCACAGGGCCGCAUGGCCCGGUGUGAAAAACUCCGGUGGUGUAAGAUGGACCCGCGUCUGAUUAGCUUGUUGGCGGGGUAGGGGCCCACCAAGGCGACGAUCAGUAGCCGGCCUGAGAGGGUGGACGGCCACAUUGGGACUGAGACACGGCCCAAACUCCUACGGGAGGCAGCAG
rnacentral:rRNA from 1 species